rnacentral:tRNA from 1 species
CGGCGAGUAGCGCAGCUUGGUAGCGCAACUGGUGGGUCGUAGGUUCAAAUCCUAUCUCGCCGACCA